rnacentral:rRNA from 1 species
CCUACGGGCGGCAGCAGUGAGGAAUAUUGGUCAAUGGACGAGAGUCUGAACCAGCCAAGUAGCGUGAAGGAUGACUGCCCUAUGGGUUGUAAACUUCUUUUAUAUGGGAAUAAAACGUUCCACGUGUGGGAUUUUGUAUGUACCAUAUGAAUAAGGAUCGGCUAACUCCGUGCCAGCAGCCGCGGUAAUACGGAGGAUCCGAGCGUUAUCCGGAUUUAUUGGGUUUAAAGGGAGCGUAGGUGGAUUGUUAAGUCAGUUGUGAAAGUUGGCGGCUCAACCGUAAAAUUGCAGGUGAAACUGGCAGUCUUGAGUACAGUAGAGGUGGGCGGAAUUCGUGGUGUAGCGGUGAAAUGCUUAGAUAUCACGAAGAACUCCGAUUGCGAAGGCAGUUCACUGGACUGCAACUGACACUGAGGCUCGAAAGUGUGGGUAUCAAACAGGAUUAGAUACCCGGGUAGUC